AUUGCCUGCCCAGUGACUAUAGUUUAACGGCCGCGGUAUCCUGACCGUGCAAAGGUAGCAUAAUCAUUUGUUCCUUAAUUAGGGACUAGUAUGAACGGCUAGACGAGGGAUCAACUGUCUCUUAUUUUUAAUCAGUGAAAUUGACCUUCCAGUGAAGAGGCUGGAAUACAAUAAUAAGACGAGAAGACCCUAUGGAGCUUAAAUUAACAAGCUUAAUCAUUAUAUCAACACCCUAAUGGCACAAAACAAAAAAUAUAAGCUUAAAAUUUUGGUUGGGGUGACCUCGGAGAAUAAAAAAUCCUCCGAAAGAUGUAUGACAUAGACCUACAAGUCAAAGUAACCCAAUUAUCCAAUUGACCCAAAAAUUGAUCAACGGACCAAGUUACCCUAGGGAUAACAGCGCAAUCCUAUUUAAGAGUCCAUAUCGACAAUAGGGUUUACGACCUCGAUGUUGGAUCAGGACAUCCCAAUGGUGCAGAAG
rnacentral:rRNA from 1 species